ensembl:lncRNA
UUUUUUUUUUUUUUUUUUUUUUUUCUUUUUAGGGCUGCACCCAUGGCGUAUGGAAGUUUCCAGGCUAGGGGUCGAAUUAGAGCUGCAGCUACCGGCCUGUGCCACAGCCACACAGGAUCUGAGCCGCGUCUGUGACCUACACCGCAGCUCACAGCAACACCAGAUCCUUAACCCACUGAGCAAUGCCAGGGAUGGAACCUGCGUCCUCGUGGAAACUGGUCAGAUUUGUUUCCCCUGAGCCAUGGCAGGAACUCCAGGUCGAUAUCUCGUUUAAGUCUCAUAAAUUUACCUCUCUCUUCAACCCCCACCCCGGCAAAUUAGCAUUGCAGGAACCAGAUUGUUUUUCCUCUGGAGGUUCUCAAGGUCUGGACUUGACCUUGACACCACAUUCCCAUGGUGACCAGUAACGUGUCCCUCAGUCUUCUAUGGUUUCUGUAAGUGACAGUUGGUCUGAAAGCUUCAUCAGAUUCACACGUGAUGAUUUUGGCAAGACAACUUCACAGGUAGUGCUGUGCUCUACUUCCAGUGGACACAUAAUGUCCAACAGCCUCUUUUAUGAUGUAAAAGCAGCUAGUGCAGUGCCUGGAUCCAUCACAGUUUGCACAAUGGUGAUAAUCUAUUUUGUCCUUUGUUCUUCACAUAUUAGCUGGAAUAGUUUUACACAGAGAAACGUUCCCGCAUCAACUCUUUGUAAAUUCAUUGAUCCCAGGCAUGGAGAAAAGGCAGAAUAAGUGCUAUCUAUGUUCUCCUUUUUCAAUUCUCAAAUAAUGAGUUAACUCACUGGCAUCUGUCAACAUGUAACCUAUUAUGGAUUUUGUUUUGUGUCACUGUAAACUCAAGGCUUUAAGCAUAUCGGGUGUCUCAUUCCACAGAUGUCCCUUACUGUUGCUCAAAUGCCCCACCUCUGGCCAGUGGGAGCCUCUUCCAGUUGGGUCCUCUGGCCCUUAGCCGCUAUCCUGGUAAUUGGAUGGCUCCCUCAUCCUCCCAUUUGAAAUAUGCCUAAAGCUCCUCUUGAACAUUUCUAAGAUCACCUGUUUCUUUUAACCGCAAAUAGUAUGUGGAACCCAUAACCCGGGCACUAAGAACGCUCGUUACUGCCGGAUGGGUGACUCCAUCUAUGCCUUUUCAGAGGGCUAGGCUAGGACGUGAUUUUUAAAAUAAAAUGCGUAGUAAAUACAUACCAAUGGGUUUGAUUCGAAUUCCAGACUUGGAGUUUUUACCUAAACUUCUCAAUUUACAUUAGUUCCUCUUCUCUUUCACGCUGAGAAUCCAAGUUUUCAAUGAGAUCAGAAGAGAAAGAAUUAGAAUAUCACAUAACUACUCAUUUGCUUUAUCACACAAUCAUCUCUGAGUAAUACUUACAAUAGAUUAUUGACAUUUGUGAUUCCUUAUCCUGGGUAUCAAGCCACAGCAAUUUAUUACACAGGUCAUCUUCUGUACAGUCUCUCUCUUUCUCGGUUACAUUUUCUGCUUUUUAGCAAAAAUUGUAUUUUUUUUUUUUGACUAAUGGUUACUUUUAUUCUACUACUUUUAUAAUAAACAUUACUAUACAGUCAUUUCCCCAAAAGGAGAAAUACACUGAAGAUAAACGAUUGACAGAUGGUAGACAGUGAGAUUGCGAGAGAGGAGAGAUAAGGAGAUGUCUCUGGCAAGGGAAACUUACCUCCAGACACUGCUACUUAUGGUGGAGGUUUGAUCUGGUUUGCCUGCCAUGAGAGCUCCCACCUAAAGAGACGAUAUUUCAUAUUUUCCAGUUUCUGAAAUAUUCCAAAGGGCGUUCUAAAAGCAUACACACAUAUCUACAAAUACAUAUAAAUACCACAUAUAUAUGUAGCACACAUACUUAUAUGUUUACAUAAAUAUAUAUGAAGAAAGACUUUAUUAUAUUUGUAGACCUAUGAAAACUUCUAUAUUGAAACUAUUUUCAGAAAAAAUCUUUCUAAAAAUUUAAAAUAUCAAGGGUUCAUGUAUUCCAAGGAAAGCAUUAAAAAUCUCUUUACAUUUUUAUUAUCUAAUAUUAAAAGUAAGAAUAUUUAAAAUCAUUUUUCUUGGUGCUAUUCACAUUCUUUAAUCAAAUAUAUAUCUGACUUUAUUACAGCGUCAGUGAUAUCUUCUGAAGAAGGUGUUUUUAAGUCUUACAGUUUUUUUUUUAUAAAAUUAUCCCCGAUCUUUUUCAAAGAUGCACUGUAUGGAUGAUAAACUUGAUAAUGGGUUCCUAAAAAUUGUUUAUUUUCAGCAGACCAUUAUAAUUUUAACUGGGAAACUCUCUUGCUAUAGGUAAAGAGAUACUCCAGUUAAGUUUAAAGGAAAUUCAGUUAAAUGAGAAAUAUGCUCCAUUCCAUUUUUAUACUGAAAUAUGUAAAAAUGUUGGCAUAAGUAUUUUUAGAAAUAGUCAGUUUGCCUCCAUGCAGAGUGCUUUUCUACAAUGUACACAUGUUUAUAAGAAAAACUAUAUGAAAUAAAUUGAUUAUAUUUUGAUUUUGUUUGAAUAUUUUGCUAAAUUUAGAGCUGCAAAAUUAUAGGCUUUUUUUCAAUCUUCUUCCAUUUCAGAACAGAAUAUCAACUUAUCCAAUUAAAAAUAGGACUUAUGUCAAAAGAUUUUUUUCUCUCAAAUCAAACAAUUUUCACAUUUGAAAGUUAAAUAUAGUACCCCCUUUGAGCUCUAACUAUUCUUUUUUAUUUUUUCAGAUCUCCCCUUGUUUUUGUAAGGAUGCAUUUUAACAUCUUCCUAUUUGCAAGCUUUGUUUUCAGUAAUUGCAAUUUGCUUUUAAGCUUCAAAUGCUGAAGGUUUUCCGUAUUUUGAAUAAAGACUCCCAAGUCAUUUUUUAACAAAAGAAUACCACAUUUUAGAGGACUUGCAUAUAAUAAAAGUUCCAAAGUACUCUAAGACACUUAGGUGUAUUUAGAUAGUAGCACCUCAAAGUUCCAAAGGUUUUAAAAUUAGAUCAAUUUUGAGUAGCAGUGACGAAAAUCAUAUCUAUUAAAUGGUGAUAAUUCUACCUCACUUAUGUGAAUAACCUUUUAAAUUAUGCAGCACUGAAGCCAAUCCCAAGUGAGUGAAAGAAAGUAGAACUAGGAAAAAAAACAACUUGAUGGCUGGUUUCAACAAUUCUAAGCUGUGUGACUUGGGAUAAUUCUCUUAACCUUUCUGAGCCUCAGUUUAUUUGGGCCAUGCCUGCUGCACAUGGAGUUCUCCUGGCAAGGGACUGAACCUGUGCCACAGCAGCUACCUGAGCCACAGCAGUGACGAUGCCAGAUCCUUGGCUCACUGUGCCACAAGGGGACUCCUGAGCCUCUGUGUUCUUAUUUAUAAAAAGAGACUGGUAACAUGUGUGAAAUAUAAAUGAAAAAAGAUAAUACGUUUCAGAGAGACUUUGCUCUCUAGCUAACCCUGCAUUCCCAGGCUCAUCCCCCCCUCACCAUCUGCCCAUUUGCCAUCCUUCUGAUUACAGGACACUGGCAGGUCUGCAAACAUCUAUUGUUUCACACAUGGAGGCUGAAACACACAGGAAUAUUUCUUUUCUGCUCCUUAUGGGUAGAAGUGUUAGUCUCAGUGCCACCUUUCCCAGCCAUGGCAGAACUGGUCAACUGAACUGGUCAAUAUUCGAGGAGUUUGCUAAGCCACGUGCACCAGGAGGUGGCCUCAUAGGUCAGGCACACUUGCACCUCUCUUGCAAUUCCUACCCAAAUGUGGCAAGUGGACCUCGGCAGGCCUGGUCUCUCAAGGCAGGCCAUCUGUACCAGUUUCUCCCUCUUCCGGAUUCCAUGUUGCAGAUGGGUAAUCGGACCUGAGUCCACUUGAACCCCAUCAGUCUCUGUCUACAAGAAACCUGAGUAUAGCAGGUGCCAAGAAUAAGACAUAAUGUGGGGUCAGGAAGGCUGGUCGGGGGGGGGCAGAAGGAAGAGGCCAUCAGUGCCUUGAGCCUUAGCAGCAUAUGACACCUCAGCCUUGCAGAGUGGUCUCUGCAUUGGGUGUGGCACACCGCACAGCUCCAACAAAAUGCUUUUGACUCCUAGACACAUGUCUGUCCUGGAAACGCAAAGGAGGCUGUUGGGAUGCCUGGCAGGGUAGGAUUCAGUCACUCAUGUAGGCUGGGUCUGUAACGUCGCCACCUGCACUAGAUAGAGGUGUUGAAGCCUCCGCUAAAGGGCCAACUCCUAGAACGUUCCCUCAGCUCCCCAGCUCAGAACUCCUUGCCCCAACCAAGCUGUCCCGGCACCUGGAUCACGCCGCCGAUGCAACCUACAUUUCAGUCUCCGGUGCAAUGACUGAUAUACGUGGUCACGUCCUCUUCCAUGCUGUCAAUUCCCUGGGGAGUUUCUAUUCUAUGUGCGUCUCCUAAACAUCCAGAACUGCCUAGGAAAUAACAGGCCCUCAAUAAAUGUGUGGAAGGAACAUUAAUUUAACAUUACUCAUAAGCUACCCACCUUCAUUCCCCACAGGGGAAUAGCUAUCUACCAUUUUCAUAGUUUAUGCCAUGAGAGAGACCUGAAAAAAAAAAAAAAAAAGAAGCAGCUUCCUGAAAGCACAUCAGAAUUCUCGAUCUAACUUUAAAAAGCCUGCAGCCAUUGUAACAUUUCUUGCCCAUCUUCCCCGAGACUGUUUCAUAACUUCUGUGGACUUUAUUCAAGCUUUUAAAGGUUAUAUGCUUCCCCCCAGCACCACUUACCUUUCAAGAAGUUUCAUAACAUCGCUGCAGAUUUUUUGGGAGAAAGUUCUCCCAUUACACUCCCCUGCCUGGCAAACAGUCUUCAAAGCCUUUGCAGUUGGAGUUCCCAUUGAGCUGAGCAGCCGAAAGUUCAUGUGUGUUAACCUCGGUUUGCCUGGGACCCGUGGCCGACUGUGAGCAUUGAUUUCGGCGGCCUCUGCUUCCCCUCUGCUCUUUGAGCUUUUCCAGCUUUUUUUCAAGGAAGAGCUAACUAGUGUCAGCAGUGUUCUCAGAACCGAACGUGUAAUUACAAGCACGUGGUCCUCUCAACCACCUUCUGAAAUGGGGGUUGUUACUACCCGCGUGCUGCUGAUGGGGAAACUGAGGCAUCGGUCCCCGACAAGGCUGGUCCUGGGUCACACAGCUGUGAGUGGCAGGGCGGGGCUCCAGCCACCAGGCCCCCUUGUCUCUCAACCAGGGAAACAUGGGCUCUCAGGUCAGACACAAGCAAAUCACUUAGCUCUCAGAAUGACACAAAGUCAGGUUUGCAAGGACUAUGACCUUAAUUUUUUAUAAUCUUUUGAAUUAUUUGAUGGGAGUACAACUUACAGUCAAUGAAAGACUCAUUUCAUUGUGUACAGUUUCCUGAGUUUUGAUCAACAGAUACUCACGUAAUGCACACCCCUCUCAAGAUAAAGAAUAUGUCUAUCAGAGUUCCCUGGUGGCUCAAUGGGUUAAGAAGCCAGCAUUAUCACUGCUGUGACUCUGGUUACUGCUGUGGCACAGGUUCGAUCCCUGAACUGGGAACUUCUGCAUGCUGUGGGUGUGACCAAAGAAAAAAAGAAAAGAAAAGAAAAUAUUGUUUAUUACCCCCAGAAAGUUUCUUGAACACUUUCCCAAUCAGCUUCCACCCCUCCAAUAAAUCACUAUUCUUUUUUUUUUUCUUUUUUUGCCUUUUUUUUAGGGC